GUUUGUUUCUGACACUGAAGACACCCAAUCUCAUCUGAUCUGCAAAGCUAAGCAGGGUUGGGCCUGGUUAGUAUUUGGAUGGGAGACUACCUGGGAAUACCAGGUGCUGUAAGCU
ensembl:rRNA 5S_rRNA 5S ribosomal RNA